CAAUUGCCCCCCAUAUCCUCAACUAUCUGCCACUCAACCAUGAAAAAAAAGAAAGUGACUGAGGAGAAGAUCUUGCUCAAUAGUUGGCUUGAGCAAGCUGUCCAGCUAGUGGUGAAGAAGAAUCCACGCUGAAGUCCUGUCCUGCUGGGUGCUGAUGACUGUCCUACAAACGUUCCUGCCUAAGUAGCUUUAAAUACCAUCAAUAGACUGAUAAAUUUCAACUUUCUAUAUAACCUCAGUGAGCCUGACUCGACAAUUUGAAAGCCUUAAAUAGCAGAACUGAGACAACCCACAGGAAGAAAUUCUGCCUAUGGAAAGCAGCUUCAACUUCAACACGAGAGUUAUGACAAAGGAAAAGAUUACAUUUAACUGGAAGAUGCUGAGCAGAGGUUACUAGGAGGCUACAGCUUUACUCAAGUGAAGGAAGAACAGUUCGUUUAAAUAGUCUUAAUUAAAAGAAGAACAACACUAUGAUUCCUGAUGGGCUAGAAUUCAAUCAAGCUGUGAUAAUCAGCAAGGUAAAAAGAAGCAAGGACAUACAGAGGCAAAACUUCAUGAUCAACCUGAAGAAUUGUUUUUCAUCCACCUACAAAACAUGUAUUUCUUCAGAACAGGAGGUACUGGCAUUAGAGAGAUUUAGAGAU